rnacentral:sRNA from 1 species
UCUUUAUACUGCCAGAUUCCAUUGAAAA